rnacentral:lncRNA from 1 species
GGCUAGCGCAACCCCAACCCUUGGGCCCCCGCCCAGGCAGGUCCCCCGCGGGCGUGGCACGACCCCCGCAGGGAGAUCAAGCAGCGCGAAGCUUUUCAGCGUCCUGGAGCCGCCUCUCAAACGUAACCCUACUCGGGCUCCCUGGGGCAAGGUUCCCGGGGUGGAGGGGACCUGAGAACGAGACCAGGGGUUUUAGGAUCCUGGGUCGCUGGGCAGGGCUGGCGUGACGGGGCGGCCCGGAGGCAGCUGAGCCCCCGGGCGCGGGGGACCACCGCGCGGGAGGCGGUCACGUCCUGCGCCGGCGGGCGGGGUGCGCAGGCACCGCAGUUAUUUCGGGACGCGCCGCGGUUCGCAGCACUUCCAGCCGCUCCACUUCCAGAGCUGUCCCAGGGCCCGGUUCUGGGGCGAAAAUGCCGGCCCUUCACAUCGAAGAUUUGCCAGAAAAGGAAAAGCUGAAGAUGGAAGUUGAGCAACUUCGCAAGGAGGUGAAGUUGCAGAGACAACAGUUAGAUAUUUUGAAGAAACUAUUCCAUCCUUUCUCCAUUGCAAAUAAAGUUUGAAGUGAUUACGUAAACACAAGAGUCCUAGACAAGCAUGGUCACCUUAGAUAACUCUUCUAUCAGGAUCAUUGUCCUCAAGCAACGGGAAGGAAUUCUGAGCAGAGACACAGAAUGAGACUGAGCAACUCCAGCUUUUCCAGAGUCAGACUUUCUCCAAUGCUUCUGUCAUUUUGUGAAAUGCAGAACCUGGCACUCACCCAUAAUAAAUGGGAAUUUUGGCAGGACACACUCCAAAACAUUUGGGAAUUUACUACUGCACCUGCUCAUUAGCAUGGAAGAUUGAAAGCAGGGUGUCUAAAUGUUCUGAAGAAAUAAAGAAUUACAUUGAAGAACGUUCUGGAGAGGAUCCUCUGGUGAAAGGAAUUCCAGAAGACAAGAAUCCCUUUAAAGAAAAAGGCAGCUGCGUUAUUUCAUAAAUAACUCUGGGGAGACGCUUCAUCCUCAGUGGAAGAACUAGCUUGUUUUAGUUUGCCAGAAUGAAACCGACAUGCCUUUUAAAGAGAAAAAAAAAAAAAGAAUGAAAUUUAAAGGAGACUUUCUUCAGCACUUAUAUAGAUAUGGUUCUGUAUACAAGCUAUGUGCUUCUCAUCUUUGCUCACUACACUCCCCUUUUAAGAGGGCAGAGAGUAUCAAAUGUGCAGUUAUGGAAAGAAGGACAUUACUUGUGCAUGACUCACCUCUUUCAGUAUAUUGCUUGAUGCCUCAAAUAAAGUUUUAUCUCUGAAAAAUGAGUGUUGAUGAUUUAAGACAGCAUUUAAUUUUUUUGGCCUUAAAUUUUAUAUUUUUCCCCAUAACCUUUCUGGUAUUUGGGACAUGUAUCAAAAGAUGAGGUGGUUUGAUAGAUCAGUUCCCCAAUCCAGCUCUCUCUGCUUCAAUUCUUAGGAGGUUUACAGUGCUGAGUUCUGACUUCUGGAAUGUGUCUGAUCUAACGUUAACUAUUAGGGAAUUGAGUGAAUAGAACUGAACGCUAACAGGAAUCAGAUUAUUUGAGUCAGGAACCAGGCCAAGCCAUGCCUACAUAAGCACUUCUGUGGUUUGUCAUCAUACAGAUCUUGUUCAAACUGUUGCCGCAACAGUGGCCUUAGGAUAGGGAGAGGGUUGGGGUCAAGAGGAGCACCCGGGCGCCAGCCCUGGAAUGUUCACCCUCAGGGAGCUGCACCUCCUACAGGCUCUGCAGGUCUUGGCAUGGCCACCCUCCAGCUCUGUGUCAUUGGAACAGAGACUUGGUUCUGCGUGGCUUGGGCCAAGCACUGCUCUUUUCCUUCUCCUCCAAAGGGACAAGUUAACCUUGUACCCAUUUCUAAAAUUAGCUUGCUUUUUUCUCAUUGAUUUGCAGGAGUUUUUAAUAUAUUCUGACCAUGCAUCCUUUGUCGGUGAUAGGUGUUGGAGGUGCCUUCUCCCAGUCCAUGGCUUAACGUUCCACAGCGGGACCAUCGCUGCAGCGAUUUUAGCCCGCAGAUGCAGCACACCAGAGUACAUGGGCUGCUCAAGUCCUUCAUGAAGACACCCGUAGCCGGACCUUAAAGAAAGGGACCUUUCUUCCUCUCUUUGAGCAUUCUUCCUCCCUCUCCCUCUGUCUUUUGGAUGCAAGUUUCACCAGGUUUGAGCCAAAAACAAGACAAGGAAAACCCUUACAGGUUAGCUCCAGCUCAAGUGGGCUCAGUUACUAACUCCUCCUGCAAUUUUACAUAUGACACCAGAAACCCAGGUUUCUGCUUGACGAGGUCUUUUCUCCAGCCUAGAUGCAUAGGUGUGCUUCAUCAAGCCAGAGAGGUGCCUGUGACUCCAGCAGCUUCCUCAAGUCUAUCAGCACCUUCACUAGGAACUACUUUCCCUUCCCUCUCCAAGAAGGAACGGGAUACCCCAGGCUUUUGAAAGAGCAGGUUACGGCAAACCAAGAGCUGGGAAUAUUUCCUUCAGUUUCUUGCCUUUUUUCCAAGUGUUGAAGUCAAUUGGGAUUACUGAGAGCCCAGGGAUAAUUUUACUCCAAAGGAGGAUUUACUCCAAGGUGAGGUUUAAGAACAGCAAAGGUAUUAUUUUUUGCCAGCAGCCAUAGAACAAUUAGUAUUUGGGUUAUGUUGCUAUUAUUUCAUUUAA